AAGCGCGCGCAGGCGGUCCUUUAAGUCUGAUGUGAAAGCCCACGGCUCAACCGUGGAAGGUCAUUGGAAACUGGGGGACUUGAGUGCAGAAGAGGUUAGUGGAAUUCCAAGUGUAGCGGUGAAAUGCGUAGAGAUUUGGAGGAACACCAGUGGCGAAGGCGACUAACUGGUCUGUAACUGACGCUGANGCGCGAAAGCGUGGGGAGCAAACAGGAUUAGAUACCCUGGUAGUCCACGCCGUAAAC
rnacentral:rRNA from 1 species